rnacentral:rRNA from 1 species
CCUACGGGUGGCUGCAGUGGGGAAUAUUGGACAAUGGGGGGAACCCUGAUCCAGCCAUGCCGCGUGUGUGAAGAAGGCCCUCGGGUUGUAAAGCACUUUCAGUGAGGAAGAACGCCUGGUGGUUAAUACCCAUCAGGAAAGACAUCACUCACAGAAGAAGCACCGGCUAACUCCGUGCCAGCAGCCGCGGUAAUACGGAGGGUGCGAGCGUUAAUCGGAAUUACUGGGCGUAAAGCGCGCGUAGGUGGCUUGAUAAGCCGGUUGUGAAAGCCCCGGGCUCAACCUGGGAACGGCAUCCGGAACUGUCAAGCUAGAGUGCAGGAGAGGAAGGUAGAAUUCCCGGUGUAGCGGUGAAAGGCGUAGAGAUCGGGAGGAAUACCAGUGGCGAAGGCGGCCUUCUGGACUGACACUGACACUGAGGUGCGAAAGCGUGGGUAGCAAACAGGAUUAGAUACCCUGGUAGUC